CCCAAAAAUAAAUAAACGUUGAAAAAAAAAUUAAAAAAAAAAAUAAAAAAUAAACAAAUAAAUAAAUAAAGAAAAAGAAGUUAAUAAAAUCACUCUGUAAAUGUUUAACCAUCAUUCUGAAUAGUUUUGUAAACAGGGCCAAUUUAUAUAUGCUAUGCUUUCACAGCAUCAUUAUCUUUGUUUUUCUGAGGAUUUGUUAGAUUAUAAUCGAUGGUAGGAAUUUUUAUAGGCAUUUUUUAUCCUGAGGUGUUGGAAUAAUAUGUCAUUUAAAGAACGUUUAAACUUAGCUUGCCCAAGUAUAGCCAUAGAUUGAGGAAAAAAAUUAGAUUAAGAAGAAAGAAUGGGUCUUUUUUUUUUUUUUUUUCGUCACAUAUCCAUCAAAAAUAGAACAUUAAUCUGGGUAAUUAAUUCUCAUUUUGUUGAUCUUUGGUUAAGCAAUCUGCUUUUAUGAAGUCAUCCGCUUCUGGAAUAAAAGAAUCUGGUGAACUUCUGCCUCAGUCCCCUUUUGGGAAUAUGAAUUUAUUCCCAAUUAUGCUCCAUAAAUUUCCAAUCUCCGAGUGGGAAGAAAGAAAUCUACCUACCGAUAGAUUAUAUUGUAAUCAGAUCAUUCUUUUGUAAAAUGUUUUCUUCUUUUAUAUACAAAAACAAAAAGAACUACCACUUUUGGUUUUACUACUUUAAUUAUGGUCAAAAAUAAACACAGGGUGAAAUCCAGCCAUCAGUCAGCUCCUCAUGUCAUAGGGCUGUUUUCCACGAGUCACGUAUACAUGUGCACACACAUGCACACAUAUUCACACAUGCAGACAACUUUUUGAGUAAUUUAAAAACCCGUAAGACAACAACAGUGAGCCUCCUGGGAGAUCCCAGAAUCCUCAAGAAAAAAAACAGACCAAAAGAGAAACAGAGAAAGACGCAAAAUACAAGCAAAGUCCCAACAACUGCCACCCAGCAGAGAAUAAAGUCCUAUCAUCUGUCUCCCCAUAGAGACCAAAUGGUCAAACCAUAAAACUAGAUGCACAGGUCAUUGUCACCAAAAGGGACAUAAACGGCCCUGUACAAAUAAGUAAGAACACGAACCAGAAUCGGAUUUGGCCAAGAAUCAGACUUAAUUAGGAUCAGACGUACAAACAGUCGGAUUGGGGAAGGUGGAAAGAAACAUCAGCAAGGGUAAAGCUGUUGCCACACAAGGUCCACCCUGGGAGCUGGAAAAGGGGCGUGUCCAAAUGUCAAAGCCCAUGGGGUACAUUUCUCAGGCAACACAGUUCAGGUCGUUUGGGAAAUCAAUCCUCCUGGACAAUCUCAGUGAGACAGACCUCCUGCUGCAAAAAGAAACUAACAGACAAAAGUCACUUAUUAAAUAAGAACUUGCAGGCUAGUUUGCCAGGGAAUCAGACUGCAGAAGAAAAGGCUUAAGCCAGUGGAAAAUAUAAUAGGUGUUUAAAGAAACAACAAUUAUCAAGACUAGGUUUAGAGUUUGUCUGGUCAUGGAAAAAUGGCAAUGUUCUCACAUUUAUCAUAUCUAGAAAGGUCAUGACAUAUCUCAGACGGCUCCAUUGCAAGAGUCAGAAACAUUCUGAACAUGGAGAAAGCAAAGUAUCUCUGAAGAUCAGCCCUGGAAGGGAACACAGAUGUUUUCUUCUGGGUUGUUUUGUUUUGUUUUGUUUUGUUGUUUUUCUUUGUACCAUUAAAUAGUCUGUUGAAGCUCCUAAGAGAAUGAAGGGGCUCAUGUUCCCUAAGGCUUACAUCUUACGAUUACAGGCAUUCUGCAUUAUAUUUAUCAUCUAAAUUUUAAGAAUCCCACUAGUAGGGGCACCUGGAUGGAUCAGGUGAUUAAGCAUCAGACUCCAGCUCAGGCCAUGAUCUCUCGGUCCAUGGGCUUGAGCCCCACGUCCAGCUCUGCUCUGUCAAUGUGGAGCCUGCUUGGGAUUCUCCCUCUCCCUCUUUCUCUGCCCCUCCCCAGCUCUCUCUCUCUCAAAAUAAAUAAAUAAAUAAGCUUUUAAAAAAAGAAUCCCACUAGUAAAAUCUCCCUAAUACUGGAGAAAAUAAAUUGUAUUGCUAUGAGUUUGAAUUCUUAAGUGUGAAUUCAAAAAAUGUUAUGAAAACAAAUUCAUUAAUUUGUAAAUAAAUUUUAAUUCAAUGAAAAAUGCUUCUAAAAGUUGAGAAUAAAGUUGUUAUCCUUUA